CAACCCUCAAGCCCCCGGGCUUGGCGUUGGGGAUCGGCACAAGGCGGAGGGGCACCCGUAGGGAGCCCCCCUCAGCCCGCCGUCCCCCAAAUUCAGUGGCGGUCACGUCGCGGCCUCCUAUGCGUAGUAGCAACACCUCGCACUGGAAGCCCCUCGCGUCCACGCCGUAAAACCCCCGACUUUUUAUCA
rnacentral:misc_RNA from 1 species